CAGAUGUUGGGAACAUCAACACUAUCUAUACAACUAUCACACCAGAGACCAAUUCAUCUGAACCAUGUGGUGGCAAUAUGACAGAUUGGAGUGGUGUAUUACACAGUCCCCGAUACCCUAAUAACUACCCUAAUAACGCACAAUGCACCUGGACCAUUCACAGCACAGGGAAUGCAACUGUGUCACUGAUCUUCACUGACGUUGAUUUGGAAACAUGCUGUGAUUACAUCAAAGUAUAUGAUGGUCCUUCUACCCUCCAUCCAUUUCUGGGAGAAAUACGGGAGUACAGGAACCAGUCUUUCAAUUCCAGCAGCAAUGAUCUGACUGUGUUUUUCUACAGUGAUCACAGUGUAACACGUG